rnacentral:piRNA from 1 species
UAGCGUGAUGUCAUCUAUUUG